GCGGCUGCCUUAACAUGCAGUCGAACGGUAGAGGAGCAAUCCUUGAGAGUGGCGAACGGGUGAGAAAUAUAUCGGAACGUGCCCAGUCGUGGGGGAUAACGUAGAGAAAUUUACGCUAAUACCGCAUACGAUCUAAGGAUGAAAGCGGGGGACUUCGCAAGAGGCCUCGCGCGACUGGAGCGGCUGAUAUCAGAUUAGGUUGUUGGUGAGGUAAAAGCUCACCAAGCCAACAAUCUGUACCUGGUUUGAAAGAACGACCAGCCACCCUGGGACUGAAACACGGCCCAAACCCCUACGGGAGGCAGCAGUGGGGAAUUUUGGACAAUGGGUGAAAGCCUGAUCCAGCAAUGCCGCGUGCAGGAAGAAGGCCUUCGGGUUGUAAACUGCUUUUGUACGGAAUUUUUUUUCUGCCUUAAUACGGCGGGCCCAUGAUGGUUCCGUAAGAAUAAGCACCGUCUAACUACGCGCCAGCAGCCGCGUUAAUAGGUAGGGUGCAACCGUUUAUCUGAAUUACAGGGCGUCUCGCAUGCGCAGGCCAUAAAUAAAACAGAUGCGAAACUCCCC
rnacentral:rRNA from 1 species